rnacentral:rRNA from 1 species
CGGCGAGCGAAAAGAAAAUAGUUCAGCACUAAGUCACUUUGUCUUUAUGGCAAAUGUGAGAUGCAGUGUAUGGAAUGUCAAAUUUCUAGUAUGAGAAAUUAACGAUUUAAGUCCUUCUUAAAUGAGGCCAUUUACCCAAAGAGGGUGCCAGGCCCGUAUAACGUUAAUGAUUACUAGAUGGCAUUUCCAAAGAGUCGUGUUGCUUGAUAGUGCAGCACUAAGUGGGUGGUAAACUCCAUCUAAAACUAAAUAUAACCAUGAGACCGAUAGUAAACAAGUACCGUGAGGGAAAGUUGAAAAGAACUCUGAAUAGAGAGUUAAAUAGUACGUGAAACUGCUUAGAGGUUAAGCCCGAUGAACCUGAAUAUCCGUUAUGGAAAAUUCAUCAUUAUGAUUUUAAUAUUUAUAAUAUUAUAAUAAUGGUGUGCAUUUUUUCUAUAAAGGACAUUGUAAUCUAUUAACAUNNAAAUUAAUUUAUCAUAAGAUCAUUUGCGUAAGUUUAUUCAAAUUAUUUUGCUUGCAUUUUAAUAUCGAAUAAAUGCUUUUGAUUUGAUAAAGUGUUGAUAGAUUUAUUAUAUACAGUGCUUAAAUAUUUAUAUUUUAUAAUAGCAUAUUAAUCAAUGAUUUUUAUGUUCAUUAUAUGCACUUGUAUGAUU